CCUACGGGAGUCUGCAGUAGGGAAUCUUCCACCAUGGGCGAAAGCCUGAUGGAGCAACGCCGCGUGGGUGAAGAAGGUCUUCGGAUCGUAAAACCCUGUUGUUAGAGAAGAACGGUCACUGUGCUAAUCAGCAGUGAAUUGACGGUACCUGCAAAGGAAGCACCGGCUAACUCCGUGCCAGCAGCCGCGGUAAUACGGAGGGUGCGAGCGUUAAUCGGAAUUACUGGGCGUAAAGCGCUCGUAGGCGGUAUGUCAAGUCAAGGGUGAAAUCCCCGCGCUCAACGUGGGAACUGCCUUUGAAACUGGCAAACUGGAGUGUGUGAGAGGAUAGUGGAAUUCCAGGUGUAGGAGUGAAAUCCGUAGAUAUCUGGAGGAACAUCAGUGGCGAAGGCGACUAUCUGGCACAUAACUGACGCUGAGGAGCGAAAGCGUGGGUAGCAAACAGGAUUAGAUACCCUUGUAGUC
rnacentral:rRNA from 1 species